GACGAACGCUGGCGGCGUGCCUAAUACAUGCAAGUUGAGCGCUGAAGGUUGGUACUUGUACCAACUGGAUGAGCAGCGAACGGGUGAGUAACGCGUGGGGAAUCUGCCUUUGAGCGGGGGACAACAUUUGGAAACGAAUGCUAAUACCGCAUAAAACCUUUAAACACAAGUUUUAAGUUUGAAAGAUGCAAUUGCAUCACUCAAAGAUGAUCCCGCGUUGUAUUAGCUAGUUGGUGAGGUAAAGGCUCACCAAGGCGAUGAUACAUAGCCGACCUGAGAGGGUGAUCGGCCACAUUGGGAUUGAGACACGGCCCAAACUCCUACGGGAGGCAGCAGUAGGGAAUCUUCGGCAAUGGACGAAAGUCUGACCGAGCAACGCCGCGUGAGUGAAGAAGGUUUUCGGAUCGUAAAACUCUGUUGGUAGAGAAGAACGUUGGUGAGAGUGGAAAGCUCAUCAAGUGACGGUAACUACCCAGAAAGGGACGGCUAACUACGUG
rnacentral:rRNA from 1 species